ACAGCUUUGUUAUUACACUCAUAUUCCCUCAGAUGCUGUAAUAGGUGUUCUGGGGUGAGGCUCUGAAUUGCUAUUCAACACCACACGCGUAAAAUUUAUCCCCAAAAUAGUCUGCUUUCUUCUCCCUUGCUCCAGAUUUCUUCCAACAUUUUUCCCCAAAUCAACAGCACGUUCGCCCUUCAUCUUCAUCUCUGUUUUUGAGGCUUUGACUACUUAUGCUAAGGUGGAGAAUUGACUUCAAGAUAAGGACCACAGAGCUUGAUAAAAAAAGGAUCAAGUUGCAAAUACUGCUGGGCAAGAGAGGUUUUGUACAAUAAUUAUUGGGUAUUGUUUUGGGUAUUGUUUUGCAUAAAUCUGUUAUUUGCAUAAUUAUUGGGAGGAAUAAUGCAACUUUUUAAAUAUAAACUAUCAAAUAAUAUUGCUAACAAAGAUAGUUUGAAAAAGAA